rnacentral:rRNA from 1 species
GAUGAACGCUAGCUACAGGCUUAACACAUGCAAGUCGAGGGGCAGCAUGACGAGUGCUUGCACUUGUUGAUGGCGACCGGCGCACGGGUGCGUAACGCGUAUCGAACCUUCCCCUUACUCGGGAAUAGCCCGGUGAAAACCGAAUUAAUGCCCGAUAUAUAUUUAGAUGGCAUCAGAAGAGUAUGAAAGAUUUAUCGGUAAGGGAUGGCGAUGCGUAGGAUUAGGUAGUCGGCGGGGUAACGGCCCACCGAGCCGACGAUGUCUAGGGGAGCUGAGAGGCUUACCCCCCACACUGGUACUGAGACACGGACCAGACUCC